rnacentral:rRNA from 1 species
ACGGAAGGCAGCAGUGGGGAAUAUCGCGCAAUGGGGGCAACCCUGACGCAGCAACGCCGCGUGAAGGAUGAAGGUUUUCGGAUUGUAAACUUCUUUUAUUAAGGACGAACAAUGACGGUACUUGAUGAAUAAGCUCCGGCUAACUACGUGCCAGCAGCCGCGGUAAUACGUAGGGAGCAAGCGUUAUCCGGAUUUACUGGGUGUAAAGGGUGCGUAGGCGGCUUGGUAAGUCAGAUGUGAAAUGUAUGGGCUCAGCCCAUGCACUGCGUUUGAAACUAUUGAGCUUGAGUGAAGUAGAGGUAGGCGGAAUUCCCUGUGUAGCGGUGAAAUGCGUAGAGAUAGGGAGGAACACCAGUGGCGAAGGCGGCCUACUGGGCUUUAACUGACGCUGAGGCACGAAAGCGUGGGUAGCAAACAGGAUUAGAUACCCUGGUA